rnacentral:rRNA from 1 species
CGGCGGUGUUUGGCACCUCGAUGUCGGCUCAUCACAUCCUGGGGCUGAAGUAGGUCCCAAGGGUAUGGCUGUUCGCCAUUUAAAGUGGUACGCGAGCUGGGUUUAGAACGUCGUGAGACAGUUCGGUCCCUAUCUGCCGUGGGCGCUGGAGAACUGAGGGGGGCUGCUCCUAGUACGAGAGGACCGGAGUGGACGCAUCACUGGUGUUCGGGUUGUCAUGCCAAUGGCACUGCCCGGUAGCUAAAUGCGGAAGAGAUAAGUGCUGAAAGCAUCUAAGCACGAAACUUGCCCCGA